GGGUGCAAAUAUACCAACGUUAAUGCACUCGAUCCCAUCAGAACUCCGUAGUUAAGCGUGCUUGGGCCAGAGUAGUACUGGGAUGGGUGACCUCCCAUGAAGUCCUGGUGUUGCACCCU
rnacentral:rRNA from 1 species